rnacentral:rRNA from 1 species
GGUUCGAUUAUGGCUCAGAUUGAACGCUGGCGGAUGCUUUACAUGCAAGUCGAACGGCAGCACGGACUUCGGUCUGGUGGCGAGUGGCGAACGGGUGAGUAAUGUAUCGGAACGUGCCUGCAUAGUGGGGAUAACGCGAAAGCGAAGCAUUACCGCACGCCCUUCGGGGAAAGCGGGGGACCUUCGGGCCUCAUCGUUUAGAGCGGCCGGGAUAUCGGAUUAGCUAUAGUUGGUGGGUAACGGCUCACCGGCGACGAUCCGUAGCUGGUUUGAGAGGACGACCAGCCACACUGGGACUGGAGACACGGCCUAGACUCUACGGGAGGCAGCAGUGGGGGAAUUUUGACACUGAAAUCCCUGAUCCAGCCAUCUCCGCGUGUGCGAUGAAGGCUCUCGGGUUGUAAAGCACUUUUUGGCAGGAAAGAAACGGUGACGGGGAUAAUACCCCGCAACUGACGGUACCUGCAGAAUAAGCACCGGCUAACUACGUGCCAGCAGCCGCGGUAAUACGUAGGGUGCAAGCGUUAAUCGGAAUUACUGGGCGUAAAGCGUGCGCAGGCGGUUCGGAAAGAAAGAUGUGAAAUCCCAGAGCUUAAUCCCUUGGAACUGCAUUUAACUACCGAGCUAGAGUGUGUCAGAGGAGGUGGAAUUCCGCGUGUAGCAGUGAAAUGCGUAGAUAUGCGGAGGAACACCGAUGGCGAAGGCAGCCUGGGAUAACACUGACGCUCAUGUACGAAAGCGUGGGGAGCAGACAGAUUAGAUACCCUGGUAGUCCACGCCCUAAACGAUGUCAACUAGCUGUUGGGGCUUCGGGCCUUGGUAGCGCAGCUAACGCGUGAAGUUGACCGCCUGGGGAGUACAUCGCAAAGAUUAAACUCAAAGGAAUUGACGGGGACUCCGCACAAGCGGUGGAUGAUGUGGAUUAAUUCGAUGCAACGCGAAAAACCUUACCUACCCUUGAUAUCUGAAUCCCGAAGAGAUUUGGGAGUGCUCGCAAGAGAACCGGAACACAGGUGCUGUAUGGCUGUCGUCAGCUCGUCGUGAGAUGUUGCUGUCCCAACGAGCGCAACCCUUGUCAUUAGUUGCUACGAAAGGGCACUCUAAUGAGACUGCCGGUGACAAACCGGAGGAAGGUGGGGAUGACGUCAAGUCCUCAUGGCCCUUAUGGGUAGGGCUUCACACGUCAUACAAUGGUCGGGACAGAGGGUCGCCAACCCGCGAGGGGGAGCCAAUCCCAGAAACCCGAUCGUAGUCCGGAUCGCAGUCUGCAACUCGACUGCGUGAAGUCGGAAUCGCUAGUAAUCGCGGAUCAGCAUGUCGCGGUGAAUACGUUCCCGGGUCUUGUACACACCGCCCGUCACACCAUGGGAGUGGGUUUUACCAGAAGUAGUUAGCCUAACCGUAAGGAGGGCGAUUACCACGUAGGAUUCAUGACUGGUGAAGUCGUAACAAGGUAG